GUUGAAUUUGAGCUUUGCAGGCUGCACCCGAAUCGAGCUGUGAAGCAGCUCCUUGCUGGUUUGCCAGGUCCAGCCUGAGCCUGAGCAGUUUGCUGUAACCAGAACCCAGCCAGGCGUGAGCGAUUCGCCCUCAGUAAACCCACUGCAUCCCAAUCAAAACAAGGCGUGAAAUGUGCUUCAGAGAGGACUUCUAAUAUUCAGGGAAAUAUCUCCUCUCACUGGAGCAUGAAGUCGCAGCCUGGGCUGAUAGGCAAGCCAUACAAAAAGAAAACACAC